UAAGUAAGUAAAAUAUAACCUGCAAUGAAAUCGAAAGCUUUGAAAUAGAUAAAUCACGCAAUUAUCGAUUUUCUAAAAUUUAUAAAAAAUAAAGUAACAUUUUCUAACCAACCUAAAAUCCUUCAAUACAAUAAAUGGAUAAUUUCAGGCUCAACCAAUUAAAAUGAGACGUAUCGAAUUUAAAUGAAAUUUUACAAGUCAAUAGAUUCCGAAUGAUUACAUCAAACUCUCGCAAAUCGUCCAUUCCAUAUGCGAAAAUUUCUUAUUUAAAUUCGGUGAGCAACUUGGGUAAAGAUAACAGUAAGAAAGUACGCAAGGAGAUCGAUUAAAAUGGACCAUCCUGUACAACUGUCGCAAUGCGUAGAAAAGAUGUACAUACAUUAUAGAAUGUCCCCUGAAACACGCGAUAAAAUCUAAAAUUGCGGAAUAAGGAAAGAGAUCAGCUUGGAAAUCGACUUGGAACAAUACAGGGGAGCGCGAGAGAGGGAGAGGCCGCGGCUCGCCAUGUUCCGUCAACCCUUAGAUUUAGUGACUGUAAGUGCUGAUGUAGAAGUGUCACCCUCUCUAGCUCUCUCAAUGGCUUACCCGACGUAUCCCCCUAAAAAAUGACCCAGAGAGCGGCGACCGAUGAGAUUUAAAAGCUACAAAAACCCUAGGUGGUUCAGCUCCGCCCACGCGAAAUUUAUUUUGACUCUUUACUGCUCACACUCCACGUAACACAUGUACUGCAACGGCAAUUCAAGGGGAUUUCUUUAAUAAAAAAGCAAUCUCUACCAUG